AAUUCCAAUAAAAAUCUAUUGUUAAUCAACAAUGAUCUAAACAACAAAUCCAUUUACAUUUAGACAACACUGACAGCAAUUAGUUGACUGGCAUUAAUUAACACUGUCGCACAGCGCUUAUUGUUUAAGUGCUUUUCCAGCACUGAGCAUCAGGCAUAAUUAAAGCAAAUACAGCAAAAUACACCAACUAAAUAUACUAAAAACCAGGAAGUACAUCAGUGAAAUAAUGAUCUUCCCUUUUGUUCGCUCUUCAACUGUCGACUGACAGCUGUUGACAGAAUGAGAUGCAAAGCGCAACAAAAAACGAUGCACAACAACAAACAACGAGCAACAAACAACAAACAUUUGGCUAUUCAGCACAACACUUCAACAGCUAAAGGAAUCCGUUUUGUACAUCAGUCAAACUGAAGUGGAAAUCGAUUUGCUGAGCACAAAAUAAUAAUUAAGAAUGAAUAACGAAUUGCUGUAAAUACCAGUCGGAUAAAAAGAGCUAGCUUGAUGAUCUCUACGAUCUUUGAAGGUCGUAAGAGCUCUGUAACUAAAAUGGUAUGAAGUGAAAUGAAAUAUAAUGGUAUGAAACGAAAUUCAAUUUAAUCUACAUGCAACUUUAUAUGAUAUUGAAAAC